CUUUUGCUGAUGGAUGUGGACCUGGACUUUGUUGUGUUACUACAACUGGUCUGAAAUGGAUGAGUGCACCCUGCUGUUGCAGCGUCUUCAGUGUGAUAAGCAUCUUCACUGAUUCAAGUUCCUUCCGGACACGUGUGCAUUGUGGGCUCUGUGCUGGCAAACCGUCUUUGGACAAUCUUGACAAUUUGACCUCAGAUCGGGUGGGACUACCCGCUGAACUUAAGCAUAUCAAUAAGCGGAGGAAAAGAAACUAACAAGGAUUCCCCUAGUAACGGCGAGUGAAGAGGGAAAAGCUCAAAUUUUGAAUCUGGUGUCUUCGGUGCCCGAGUUGUAAUCUAGAGAAGUGUUUUCUGCCUCGGACCACACAUAAAUUCCCUGGAAUGGGGUGUCAUAGAGGGUGAGAAUCCCGUUUGUGGUGUGGACUACCUUGGCUCUGUGAUACACUCUCAACGAGUCGAGUUGUUUGGGAAUGCAGCUCAAAAUGGGUGGUAAAUUCCAUCUAAAGCUAAAUAUUGGCGAGAGACCGAUAGCGAACAAGUACCGUGAGGGAAAGAUGAAAAGCACUUUGGAAAGAGAGUGAAACAGUACGUGAAAUUGUUGAAAGGGAAGCGUUUGAAGUCAGUCACAUUGGUCGGAAUUCAGCCUGGCUUCUGCCUGGUGUACUUUCUGGCAAAUGGGUCAGCGUCAAUUUUGACCGAGAGAAAAAGACUUGAGGAAUGUGGCUGUCUUCGGGCAGUGUUAUAGCCUCUUGUUGUAUGUCUCGGUUGGGAUUGAGGAUCGCAGCACGCCUUAUGGCCGGGGUUCGCCCUCGGAACGUGC
rnacentral:rRNA from 1 species